GGCCAGGUAGCUCAGUCGGUACGAGCGUCCGCCUGAAAAGCGGAAGGUCGGCGGUUCGAUCCCGCCCCUGGCCACC
rnacentral:tRNA from 3 species